ACGGUAGGGCCUGCUGCAGAAUACUGGUCUGAUGUAGGUGGGUAGUACGGUAGGGCCUGCUGCAGAAUACUGGUCUGAUGUAGGUGGGUAGUACGGUAGGGCCUGCUGCAGAAUACUGGUCUGAUGUAGGUGGGUAGUACGGUAGGGCCUGCUGCAGAAUACUGGUCUGAUGUAGGUGGGUAGUACGGUAGGGCCUGCUGCAGAAUACUGGUCUGAUGUAGGUGGGUAGUACGGUAGGGCCUGCUGCAGAAUACUGGUCUGAUGUAGGUUGGCUGGGCUACUAGAGGUAGAUGGGUCUGGUUGGCUGGGCUACUAGAGGUAGAUGGGUCUGGUUGGCUGGGCUACUAGAGGUAGAUGGGUCUGGUUGGCUGGGUUACUAGAGGUAGAUGGGUCUGGUUGGCUGGGAGACUAGAGGUAGAUGGCUCUGGUUGGCUGGGCUACUAGAGGUAGAUGGCUCUGGUUGGCUGGGCUACUAGAGGUAGAUGGCUCUGGUUGGCUGGGCUACUAGAGGUAGAUGGCUCUGGUUGGCUGGGCUACUAGAGGUAGAUGGGUCUGGUUGGCUGGGCUACUAGUGGUAGAUGGCUCUGGUUGGCUGGGCUACUAGAGGUAGAUGGCUCUGGUUGGCUGGGCUACUAGAGGUAGAUGGCUCUGGUUGGCUGGGCUAUCUCUCUAUUUUCUCUCUCUCGCUAACUCUCUCUGUUCUCUCUUUGUAUUUCUCUUUGUAUUUCUCUUUGUAUCUCUCUUUGUAUCUCUCUAUUUUCUCUCUCUCGCUAACUCUCUCUGUUCUCUCUUACUAUCUCUCUUUCUAUCUCUUUGUUGUCUCUUUGUUCUCUCUUACUAUCUCUCUUUCUAUCUCUUUGUUGUCUCUUUGUUCUCUCUUACUAUCUCUCUGGUUUCUCUUAUCACUUUAUAUCUAGACUUUGAAUGAUGAAUUGAAAUGGAAUGGACUUCUUGAUAACUACAAAAGGACAAAAGCAGCAGGUAAUAAAGUGAGGGAACUAGAAGGUAAAUGACCCCAACUCAUGUAAAAGUUAUUCAUAGAGUUCAAUAUGUA
rnacentral:lncRNA from 1 species